rnacentral:tRNA from 2 species
GGGGGUUUAGCUCAGUUGGCAGAGCGUUCGCUUAGCAUCCAAGUUGCUUUCUCAGCACUCGAUCCUUUGCGAAAGGUCACGUGUUCGACUCAUGUAGUCUCCA